UGGGGAAUUUUGGACAAUGGGCGCAAGCCUGAUCCAGCAAUGCCGCGUGUGUGAAGAAGGCCUUCGGGUUGUAAAGCACUUUUGUCCGGAAAGAAAACCGUCUGGCUAAUAUCCGGGCGGGAUGACGGUACCGGAAGAAUAAGCACCGGCUAACUACGUGCCAGCAGCCGCGGUAAUACGUAGGGUGCAAGCGUUAAUCGGAAUUACUGGGCGUAAAGCGUGCGCAGGCGGUUCGCUAAGACAGAUGUGAAAUCCCCGGGCUUAACCUGGGAACUGCAUUUGUGACUGGCGGGCUAGAGUAUGGCAGAGGGGGGUAGAAUUCCACGUGUAGCAGUGAAAUGCGUAGAGAUGUGGAGGAAUACCGAUGGCGAAGGCAGCCCCCUGGGCCAAUACUGACGCUCAUGCACGAAAGCGUGGGGAGCAAACA
rnacentral:rRNA from 1 species